CUGGCGGCGUGCCUUAACACAUUGCAAGUUCGAAACGAUGACGCGGUGCAUGCACCUUGCAUUAUUGGCAAACGGGUGAGUAAUACUUGAGUUGACCUACCUUUGACUCUGGGAUAAGCACUGCGAAACUGGGUCUAAUACCGGAUACCACCAAUCUCUGCAUGGGGUGUUUGGUGGAAACCGUUAUGGAUUGCUUUUAAAUGGCCUCACUGCCUAUCAGCUUGUUGGUGAGGUAAUGGCUUACCAACGCAACAUACUGGUACCCGGCCUGAGAAGGUGACCGGCCACACUGACACUGACACACCGCCCACACUCCUACGGGACGCAGCAGUGGGGAAUAUUGCACAAUGGGCGCAAGCCUGAUGCACCUACGCCGCGUGAGGGAUGACCGCCUUCGUGUUGUAAACCUCUGUUAGCAUCGAAAAACCUAAAGUGACGGUAGGUGCACAGAAAGCGCCGGCUAACUACGUGCCACCAGCCACGGUAAUACCUACGGCGCCAGCGUUGUCCAGAAUUAUUGCGCGUAUAGAACUUGUAGGCCGUUGGUCGCGUCUGCUCUGAAAUGCCGGGGCUUAACUCCGGUUUUGCACUGGGUACGGGCUAUCUAGAGUGCACUAGGGGAGACUGGAAUUCCUGGUGUAGCGGUGGAAUGCACAGAUAUCAGGAGGAACACCGAUGGCGAAGGCAGGUCUCUGGGCUGUAACUGACGCUGAGAAGUGAGAGCAUGGGGAGCGAACAGGAUUAGAUACCCUGGUAGUCCAUGCCGUAAACGUUGGGCACUAGGUGUGGGGGACAUUCCACGUUUUCCGCGCCGUAGCUAACGCAUUAAGUGCCCCGCCUGGGGAGUACGGCCGCAAGGUUAAAACUCAAAGGAAUUGACGGGGGCCCGCACAAGCGGCGGAGCAUGCGGAUUAAUUCGAUGCAACGCGAAGAACCUUACCAAGGCUUGACAUGCAUUAGAUCGCGUCAGAGAUGGCGUUUCCCUUCGGGGCUGGUGUACAGGUGGUGCAUGGUUGUCGUCAGCUCGUGUCGUGAGAUGUUGGGUUAAGUCCCGCAACGAGCGCAACCCUCUUUCUAUGUUGCCAGCGGUUCGGCCGGGGACUCAUAGGAGACUGCCGGGGUCAACUCGGAGGAAGGUGGGGAUGACGUCAAAUCAUCAUGCCCCUUAUGUAUUGGGCUUCAAGCAUGGUACAAUGGCCGGUACAGAGGGUUGCGAUAGUGUGAGGUGGAGGUAAUCCUUUAAAGCCGGUUUCAGUUCGGAUUGGGGUUUGCAACUUGACCCCAUGAAGUUGGAGUCGGUAGUAAUUGCAGUAUCAGGAACGCCGCGGUGAAAUACGUUCCCGGGCUUUGUACACACCGCCCGUCA
rnacentral:rRNA from 1 species